AGAUGUGAGGGCGAUGUGGCUGCAACAUCUGUCACCCCAUUGGUCGCCAGGGUUGAUUCCACUGAUCUGGCUGGCUCAGUGGAUUUCUCCUUUCUCCCUCAAUACUCCGUGUGUGUCCCCACUGAAGCUGCGCACUUGCUCGAAGAGGACAACCACACCAGAAUAGAGGAUGUCUGUUCCUCCGUCAAGGGUAUACGAGUAGCUGUGCUCCCCUGCUAGCACCUCCAAACAAGCUCUUGUGCUUCAUAUGUGAAAGAUUCAGGAUAAAUUAUUUCCUAAAGUGAUAGUGAUUCCAAAUAAUUUUUU
rnacentral:snRNA from 1 species